AGACGAGCUCGUCCGUGAUCAUUUCCAUCUUGAAGAUACACGGGAGAUAAUUUGGCGGUCAAAAAUGUUUGCAGGUAUUUUCAACAAAAGGAAGGACUUGGCUCAAUCAAAAAAAUGUCAAGAAGAUCAACAAAAUAUGCACAGAGAUCGAUAUUUGGAAUUCAUACAGACAUAAUGAUGACCUUAUCGUCCUACCGCAUGCGUGCCGAAAUUUAUGACAAUCCGCCUUCCUUCUGUUUAGCCGGGGGACAACUUCUGCAGUAUUUUCUCUAAGGCUGAAACUAAUAUAACGAUGAUCAGAGAAGCUGUGGUCAAACAACACCUCCCAGUCACAUAUCCUUCGGCUAAUGUUCUCCAACACAAAGCUCACCCCUUUCGUUAAUAUCCGUGCUUCCCCAUUGAUCUGCAUUGGCAUCACUUCUCACAAUGAGGCUCUUUUCCCUGCAGACGCGGCUUCAACCAGUAACCUAAGGCUUGAAGGCGGCAUUUCUGAAUCAUGUGUCAUAUAUAGAGAAGCAAACCACUAAUGAGAAUUAUUUACUUCAAGGCUGGCUACUACUAAAUAUUCAGUGCUAAGCAGCGGAAGAAGAAAAAACAUUAGGGCUACACUCCAAAAAGAAAUGACUCAAUGGUUGAGCUUAAAUAAACUAUUUUCGA
rnacentral:sRNA from 1 species